AGAGUUUGAUCCUGGCUCAGGAUGAACGCUGGCGGUAUGCCUAACACAUGCAAGUCGUACGAGAGUUUUUAACUCUAGUGGCGGACGGGUGAGUAACACGUAAGAAUUUACCUUCAGGAGGGGGAUAACAAUUGGAAACAAAUGCUAAUACCCCAUAUGCUUUCGAGUGAAAUGGAUUUAUAUUUAUCCNCCUAAAGAGAAGCUUGCGUCUGAUUAGCUUGUUGGUAAGGUAAAAGCUUACCAAGGCGACGAUCAGUAUCUGGUUUGAGAGGACGAUCAGACACACUGGAACUGAGACACGGUCCAGACUCCUACGGGAGGCAGCAGUGGGGAAUUUUCCGCAAUGGGCGAAAGCCUGACGGAGCAAUACCGCGUGAGGGAAGACUGCCUAUGGGUUGUAAACCUCUUUUUUCAGGGAGGAACAAAAUGACGUGUACCCCUGAAGAAU
rnacentral:rRNA from 1 species